rnacentral:rRNA from 1 species
CCUACGGGUGGCAGCAGUGGGGAAUAUUGCGCAAUGGGCGAAAGCCUGACGCAGCGACGCCGCGUGAGGGAUGAAGGUCUUCGGAUCGUAAACCUCUGUCAGCAGGGAAGAACGGUCACGGUGCUAAGCAGCAGUGAAUUGACGGUACCUGCAAAGGAAGCACCGGCUAACGCCGUGCCAGCAGCCGCGGUAAUACGGAGGGUGCGAGCGUUCAUCGGAAUUACGGGGCGUAACGCGCGCGUAGGCGGUAUGUCAAGUCAAGGGUGAAAUCCCCGCGCUCAACGUGGGAACUGCCUUUGAAACUGGCAACCUGGAGUGUGUGAGAGGAUAGUGGAAUUCCCGGUGU